ACCUGAGUAGCUCAGUCGGUUAAGCGUGUGACUUCAGCUCAGGUCGUGAUCUCACAGUUUGUGGGUUCGAGCCCCACGUCAGCUC
rnacentral:tRNA from 1 species